rnacentral:ncRNA from 1 species
GCGUAAUAUUCGCCCGAUUUUUUAACCAGAAGGACACAAGCUUUGGACAGUCAUAGUCGAUACCGAAUAUCACUAUAACGCUCGCCAAAACUAUCGGCGAACGUUCGC